rnacentral:rRNA from 1 species
GAACGCUGGCGGCAGGCCUAACACAUGCAAGUCGAGCGGAUGAAGGGAGCUUGCUCCUGGAUUCCGCGGCGGCCGGGUGAGUAAUGCCUAGGAAUCUGCCUGGUAGUGGGGGAUAACGUCCGGAAACGGGCGCUAAUACCGCAUACGUCCUGAGGGAGAAAGUGGGGGAUCUUCGGACCUCACGCUAUCAGAUGAGCCUAGGUCGGAUUAGCUAGUUGGUGGGGUAAAGGCCUACCAAGGCGACGAUCCGUAACUGGUCUGAGAGGAUGAUCAGUCACACUGGAACUGAGACACGGUCCAGACUCCUACGGGAGGCAGCAGUGGGGAAUAUUGGACAAUGGGCGAAAGCCUGAUCCAGCCAUGCCGCGUGUGUGAAGAAGGUCUUCGGAUUGUAAAGCACUUUAAGUUGGGAGGAAGGGCAGUAAGUUAAUACCUUGCUGUUUUGACGUUACCAACAGAAUAAGCACCGGCUAACUUCGUG